UGGCUCAGUGGUAGAGUGCUUGCCUCACAUGCAUGAGGUCCUGGGUUCGAUUUCUCAG
rnacentral:tRNA from 1 species